CGGCGAACGGGUGAGUAACACGUGGGCAACCUUUCCCAUCGUGGGGGAUAACACCGGGAAACCGGUGCUAAUACCGCAUGAGGUCGCUGGAGGCAUCUCCGGCGAAGAAAGCAGCAAUGCGCGAUGGGGUGGGCCCGCGGCCUAUCAGCUAGUCGGUGGGGUAACGGCCUACCGAGGCAUUGACGGGUAGCUGGUCUGAGAGGACGACCAGCCACACGGGGACUGAGACACGGCCCCG
rnacentral:rRNA from 1 species